AUCCGGUGGUUCUGAAUGGAAGGGCCAUCGCUCAACGGAUAAAAGGUACUCCGGGGAUAACAGGCUGAUACCGCCCAAGAGUUCAUAUCGACGGCGGUGUUUGGCACCUCGAUGUCGGCUCAUCACAUCCUGGGGCUGAAGUAGGUCCCAAGGGUAUGGCUGUUCGCCAUUUAAAGUGGUACGCGAGCUGGGUUUAGAACGUCGUGAGACAGUUCGGUCCCUAUCUGCCGUGGGCGCUGGAGAACUGAGGGGGGCUGCUCCUAGUACGAGAGGACCGGAGUGGACGCAUCACUGGUGUUCGGGUUGUCAUGCCAAUGGCACUGCCCGGUAGCUAAAUGCGGAAGAGAUAAGUGCUGAAAGCAUCUAAGCACGAAACUUGCCCCGAGAUGAGUUCUCCCUGAGACUUAGAGUCUCCUGAAGGAACGUUGAAGACGACGACGUUGAUAGGCCGGGUGUGUAAGCGCAGCGAUGCGUUGAGCUAACCGGUACUAAUGAACCGUGAGGCUUAACCUUACAAC
rnacentral:rRNA from 2 species